GUUACUGAUGCUAUGGACUGUGGGAUUACUAACAGGCUAUUGACAAAAAUCUGUCUCUAAAACUCUUUUCUCUUUAUUAAAAGUUGAUCUGGACAAGUACAUGAUAGAAUCAAAUGUUUUGCAAAUCCGCUGGAAAGACCAGAUCUCAAAUGAUUCGCGAAAUGCGCUUCGGAGUCCCGAUCUGAAUCAAAUGUUUUGCCGACUCGCUCCGAAGCCCCGAUCAAAUGAUUCGCUAAAUGCGCUUCGGAGUCCCGAUCUGAAUCAAAUGUUUUGCCGACUCGCUCCGAAGCCCCGAUCAAAUUAUUCGCGAAUUGCGCUUCGGAGUCCCGAUCUGAAUCAAAUGUUUUGCCGACUCGCUCCGAAGCCCCGAUCAAAUUAUUCGCGAAUUGCGCUUCGGAGUCCCGAUCUGAAUCAAAUGUUUUGCCGACUCGCUCCGAAGCCCCGAUCAAAUGAUUCGCUAAAUGCGCUUCGGAGUCCCGAUCUGAAUCAAAUGUUUUGCCGACUCCCUCCGAAGCCCCGAUCAAAUGAUUCGCGAAACGCGCUUCGGAGUCCGGAUCUGAAUCAAAUGUUUUGCGAACUCCGAAGGCCCGAUCAUAAGAUUCGCGAAACGAUCUUCGGAGUCGCGAUAUGAAUCAAAUGUUUUGCGAACUCGCUCCAAAUCCCAGAUCUCAAGUUAUUUUCCAGUGAAAGCGCUACAGCGUUCAUUCGCUUGCCGAAAAAUAGCGGAGACCAAAAGUAUUCAGAUGUGUAUAGUGUGCCUUUGUGUUCUAAUUUAAAAAAAAAAAAAAAACUUAUUUAUCAUUUCAUAGUUUUCCCACCUACGAAAAUAAAAAUAAGCGUUGAAUUGGGCUAUAUGGUGAGAGGAGGAGACGACAAUUACUCUGAGGAAAGGUACUUUAGUGUGUGCUAAGCCCUUCACGGAGGAUGAGGUCCGUGUCCAACCGGAGUACGGUCGAUCUCGCACCGUGGGCUGUGCCUUCCAGGUUUGCGUGGAAAAGUUGCGGAGACGUUAAAUCACGCGUCAUAACGGGCUGUUUGUGGUGCAGAGCAGUAAAUGUCCAGAUGGUCCAGUCCCAGGCUCCGUGGCCGUGCACAAACGCAGUGACGAACUUCCGCUGUCGCCAGAAGUCGACCAAGUAUAGGUCUCUGCAGGAAAGUAAUUUGUGGUUUUAAGAAUUUGUGGUCAGAUAUAAAUAAAUAUGUAAUUCCUAAUAAAGUUAAAGAAACUCACUUUAAAAUAAUAAACAGAUACUAUCCAUGUAAUGAUUUUAUUGGUAAGUUUAAAGAAGGGUUUUUGCCAUUAUGUAGUUUCUGUAAAGAAGAAAAUGAAACAAUUGUACACUUAUUUUUCAGUUGUAAUUAUACUAAAUUAUGGAUACUAUUAUUAAACUUCUUACUCUGUUAGGAAAAUAUCAUACAUAAAGCAAAAUGUAUAUCGACUGUACCAAAUGGUAGAUUUCUGAAGAUUUUUUUACGACUCUCUACCUUCAAUACAGAAUAAUCGAAAAGCUCUAAAGACAUUUAAACUGCUGAAAAGGAUACUUAAUGUAUUAGAAACAUGAUUGAUAUGUUAUACAGUAUGCAUCUUAUUGCUUUACAGAUUCACAUGUCUCUGUUUUCCCCUUUUUUGUUAUCUCAAAAAAAAAAAAAAAGUAAUGGGAGUUAUGAGAUCAAGGUGUUUUUACACCAUGAUACCUGAUUAGUUGAUGUAAUAGUGACGUUAGGUUUAGGGGUGGGGUUGGGUAAGGGGGAUCAUUUAGAUUGCAUGAUUCAGAAACACCCAGCAGUUUCAAAACACCCACAUGGGUGAUUUUGUUAAAUUGAUUUCAUAAAAUGUUAUCCUCCACUGCAAAUUGUCUUGCAAGUCAAGGGGGUUGAAUAAUUUGGAACACAACUGUAUAUUGUCUGUGUGAGAGGAAUCAAACAAUCAUAUCCUGCUAUCGUUUACUCUUCCUCAGCCUGAAAGUGUUUUUUUUUUCUGCUGAACACUAAAGAAGAUGUUUUUUGAGAGUGAACAGUUGACGGCACCCAUUGACUUCUAUGCUACAGGAAGAAAUACUAUGGAAGUGAAUGGGUACCGUCAACCGUUUGGUCUUUUAAAGCAUCAUCUUUUUAGCAUUCAGCAGAAGACAGAAACUCGUACAAAAAAUAUAUAAUUUUUUACAUUUUAUUUAAAGAAAUAAAUAUAUAAAAUAAGCUCACACAGUUUAACAUUUAUUCCCAAAGCAACCAACUAUGUGUCAUUGUUGUUAACUAAGACUGAAACAACUAAAAACAGUUUUCUGUAAUUGAAAUAAAGCUAAAGUAAAAUGAUAUAGAUAAGUCGUGUAAGCUACUACUAAAUAUGGGAGAAACUUAUUUUCUGUAAAGUUGCUUUGCAAUGAUUUGUAAAGUAAAAAGCACUAAUUUUAGUACUGUUUUCAUUUAAUUUAUAAAGUAGUAACUUUUUACAAAAAAAGUUGAAAUGCUAAAAUUAUUAAAACUGACAUAACAUAAAGGCUAAAAAAAGAUUAAUAAAACUAAUUCCUAAACCUCAAACUGCAACCAUGAGGCUAAAAGCUAUGCCAUUUGUCACUCUGAGAAAGUGCUGUAACAGUUUAUAAAGACCUUGAUGUUGUUUGGACACCAGAACCGUGUGUGUGUGUGUGUGUGUGUGUGUGUGUGUGUGUGUGUGUGUGUGUGUCCACCUAGAUGUUCCCGUGUUUGGCUCCUGGGAUGAUCUGAAUCCUCUCAAAGUCCCUCCCCAGGAUGAUGAUGUCAC